UUCUCCUUCUCAUUUUUAUUUAUUGAUUUUCCGUUUAAUCUCAUUAGUGAUAAUUUGAAAAAAAAAUUCUAACCAAAGGGCAAGAACAAAGGAAAAUCUCAAACUCAAUUGUUCUGCCACUGUCGGUUGAGAAUGCUAAAGAGCAUCUUAAUUUUAUCUAUGCCUGUUUCUCCGAUUUCGAUGGUAAGAAAAAUACUUUUUAUUAUUUCUUUCUAAAUUUCGUUCCUCCAUUAUUUGUAUUUUGUAGAAUUAUUAACUUUGUUUUUGUUGAUUCACAUGCACUCAAGAAUAAUAGAAUGGAGGUCUACAAACUCAGAAGAAUUUUCUAGUGCAUGAAAAUUAAUCUUAUUUCUUAAAAAUAUCUUUUCUCUAUAUAUAGGAAAGCACAUCGUAAAAGAUCACAUCGACAUUCUAAGAGUAUCAAAAGAUAACUUGAAUACACACACCCAUAUAUUAAAUUAUUAUGUAUUGUGUUUUUUCAAUUAGUCAUAAGUAGUUUGUAAAACAUUUACUUUAUAUUUUGCAUAAUGUGUAAUUUAGAAUUUGUGUACUUCAUAUAAAAGUUGAAAGUAUAUUACUCAUUAGAAUCUUCAGAUCUACUUUCAAAGGACGAUAUCUUUUAAACUUAUUUUUACAAUUAUAGUUUGGUUUUCUUAUUUCUGAUGUACUAAGUAUUAUAUUUUUAUGUAGAGUAUUUAUUUCUGUAUUUAUUAGUUCUAGAUUUCUUUAUUUUCUAAUUUUUUUUUAAAUAGAUUUAUCUCGUUUAAUAAUUUUGUUUUUAUCAUUUUCUUCUUUUUCUUUCUGUCUUUUUUCAUACAGGUCUUUUAGCAUUUGUAGUUCAUUUUCUAAUUCGGCAAUCCUACUAUUUUUAGUUUUUUCUAUUUUUCAUAUUUCUUUUGUAGUUUGUUGUUUUAUUUUAUCUAUUUUCCUUUUUUCUGUCUAUCUCUUCAUUUUAUUUUUCUAUUCUUACCAUGACUGCCAACUUAUGUUCUAAUUUUAAUUCUUUUUUUUUCUAACAUUAAAUAUAAAUAUUCACCUAAACAAAUAAUUACUAUACAUAUGCAUGUAAACGCAUUUGGAUUAAUACUUGAUUGAUGUGCUUGUUAAGAGCCUUCUUAAAUAUCAUUAUAUGACAUUAGUUUUUUCUAUUUUUCAUAUUUCUUUUGUAGUUUUUUGUUUUAUUUUAUCUAUUUUCCUUUUUUCUGUCUAUCUCUUCAUUUUAUUUUUCUAUUCUUACCAUGACUGCCAACUUAUCUUCUAAUUUUAAUUCUUUUUUUUUCUAACAUUAAAUAUAAAUAUUCACCUAAACAAAUAAUUACUAUACAUAUGCAUGUAAACGCAUUUGGAUUAAUACUUGAUUGAUGUGCUUGUUAAGAGCCUUCUUAAAUAUCAUUAUAUGACAUGAUGAAACUGAUGAAAACUUUAUACAAGAUGAUAACAGGUUCGAUGUUCAAUUGGUAAUAUGUGUUUUGAGAAUUGCAUCAUUUUGUAAUCAAAAUAUAAUUGAAAUCACCAAACAUUUUAAAUAUCAAUUUACAUUGAAACUUAAAUCUUUUUGAAAGAUAAAAAUUGUAUUAUCUUAUCUUCAACUAAUAUAAAAAUAAAGAUAAGAGAUCCACUAAGAUAUUUCAUGUCUAACAGAAAUUUUGGUGAUAGAAAUUUAUUAGCAUGCAAAUUUGUACUGAUAAUAAUCAUAAACAUGAUAAUAAUAAUCAUCCACAAAAAAGUUACGUAUGUCAUGAAUAACAAUUAUUAUAUUCUGAAAAUUACGGACUAUAUAUGUUGCAUUUGUUUGAUCACUCCAACAUAAUCUAAAUAAAUUUUUAUAUUACUAACUGCAUGUAACUGUGGAUAGAGUAAUUGAAGCGUAACUGGGGAUAAAGUAAUUGAAGCGAAUAAUACCUUAAAUUUAUAUAAACAUCUCCAAAGAUGAUUUUUAUAAGUAACUUUGUAGCAUUAUAAUUUACAGCAAUGUAGAACUAUAUCAUAAAAUAAAAUAAGGAUAAAAAUGAUAUUAGAGUCCUAUUUAGAGCCGUCAAUAUGGGCUAGACCCAUUGGGCCGGCCCGAUCUGGCUUAUAAUUUGAUGGAGUUGGGCUUCAAUAUUUGCAGCCCAUUUAAGAACAGGAUUUUUUAGCCCGCUCGGAUAAACCCGUGGCUCGUUGGGCUUACGCAAUGUGGGUUGGGCUAGUCCGUGGGCCGACCCGUAAGUCAAAUACAUACAACUAUUUAGAUUAUUUAUUAGUAUUUUUGUUUGAUUCGACGGAUAUCAUGUCAAAAGUUAUUUAAUUUCGCUGUUAAGAGUAUUUUUUGGGGUGUUGGAGACUUGAUUAACAAGUAUUAACACUAUGUAAUAUUAGCUGGUAAUAUUUAUGUUUAUUAACAUUCUAAAAUUAAAUUAUAAAAUAUUAUUUUUUAAAAGGUGGGCUGGCCCGUAUGAUUCGCAGCCCACAGAGUAACGGUGUGGGCUUGAUAUUUUUUGGCCCAUCAUUUUAAUGGGCCAGCCCAACACGACCUCAAACUCAAAGCCCGUGUGGACUAACCCAAAUGGGCUGGCCAACCCGUAUAGACAGCUAUAGUCCUAUUUUUCAAAUAUACAUUUUUAUUUAUAAGUGAACUAUUUCUAACAAAAAUUUAUAUCAUAAAGAAGAAUGUGACUUUUUGAAUUUUAACAAUAUACACAGUUUAUUCUCACAUAGUAGGAUAUGAAAAAGAUAGCAUGAAGGCAGUUCAUAUAAUUACCUCAGUGGUUUGAUAGAUUGGUGAUUUUUGAUAGAUCCUCGGCUUAAUACAAAAUACAGUUCAAAAAAAUGUUAAAAGGGUACUAAAGACAAUAAGAGUAACACAACAAUAGAUAGUAACAGAAAAAUACUACCACAAAAUAAUAUUAUAAGCGAUCUACCCGAAACAACAUAUAUCGACAAGAAUUCAAGAAUAAAAAAUCUAUAAGCAUAAAACUAUGACUACUAUUAAGAACAAUAUUCCUACUUACUAUCAUGAACUCAUGAUAAGGCGAAGUAACUUAUAUUUGUGUUAAUUACACUAAAUAUAUUGUUUUUGUUGUGUUGGUUAUACGACCAAAUGUACUUCAACAAAUGUGAUUAUAGUAACUGAUUUUAAGCCAGUUUUAAAAUUUAGGCGGUGGUUAAUAUCACAAUAUCACCAUAUAUACCUAAUUGCAUUUUAUUUUUACUUCCUUUAGAGUAUGUUUACAUAUAUAUAAACGUGUUUAAUAUGAUUUAUUUUAGAUUUAAUUCUGUUAUGCAUAACUAAACUUAUAUAUUCUAAUUUCUUUAUUUUGAAUGGGCGAUAAGAAAAUUCAAAAUACUUAUAUAUAUAAAAUACACAAAAAGGAUAUUAAUCUAAAAUCAAAUGAGACAAAAUAAUUAGUAUACAAUGUACAAAAUGUGCACAUAGUGGGGGUGGGGGUGAGGGGAUUCAAACUAAUUUUAAGAAUGUAAUGAACUAAUUUUAACAAUCUAACUAUAUAUUCAACAUAAAACCAAUCAAUUGUAAUGAAUUAAUCAAUCAUGUAUAUUCUUCUUUUUGCCUUUGCCUUACUUUUUUAUUUUCUCGAAGUUAUGUUAUUCUACACAAAACAUGCGAUUACGAUAAUUAAUUUGACCAAUGAUUAAUAUUACCAUAUAUACAUAAUUAUUUUUUACUCCUUUAAGAGUAUAUUUACAUAUAAAUAAACGUAUUUAGGGGGCUUAUUUUAAAUUUUGUCUUGCUAUGUAUAACUAAAUUUAUAGCAUAUUUUAAUUUUUAUAUUUUGGGAUAAGGGAAAAGAAAACUAAAUUACUUAUACAUGUUAUAUAAAAAAGAAAAUUUAGAUUAUUAGACAAAAAUAAAGUAAUAAAAAUACAAUAUAUAAAAUGAAUAAAUUAAUUUUAAGAAUAUAUUGAAGUAAUUAGAUAAUGCAGAUGUUACUAUGCAUAAAUUUAAACCGGAGAGAUGUGAACUAUUGUAUAAAAAUUUAAAAAUAAAAAUAAAAUAAUGUUAACAAUAUAAUAUCUUUAAAUUCAGAAUAAUGUAAUUAAAAAAUUACAAACACUAGAGUUUCUUUUUACAUUUAUAUGUUUGUCUAUAUUUAUAUAGAUUUAAUUAGGCGUGUCUAUGAUAGUGUAGGAUGAGUGUGGGGCGUGUGGGUAUUUCAUUGAGAAAUAAUAUGAUAGUUAAACUUUAUGAUUUAACAUGCUUUAAUAAAAUAUUGAAAUAUGAAAUGAUUAAAAAUAAUACUCUAAUAUCAUCCACGUAUCGCGCGGGUACAUACACUAGUAUUAAUAAAAGCGGAGGUGCGAGCAAUUCAAUCUAUGCAUUGACGGAAGGAGCUAAACAAAAAGGUAGGUGACAAUAAGCUUAAUGAUUCUUAAAAAAGCUAAUAAUUAAAAGCUUGGCAAUUAAGAUAAUUCGUAGGUAAAAUACUUGGCUUUUGUUAGGGCCAAUAUUUACCCAGAUACAUUGUGCAUCUAAUGUUCACAUGUUGAGGAAAUAACUUUACCCUAAAAGAACCAAAUUAUAUUGGUUUUAUUAACAUUAUACCCAAUCGUCUAGUGUUUUAGCCUUUACGGCCUAGACUGAACAAUGAAAUCUUUUUGUUGUUCUUAGUAGUUUUGGAGUGUGUUACCUUGUCUGAGUACUGUUACUUGACUUACUAGCAUAUUCAUUAAUUGUGGUAGUAUUAGUUCCUGCUAUUGACUAUUGUUUAUCAAAAUUUGUGUUAUAUUAUUGGUUUUGUUGCUCUCUAUCUAUUAUAGAUUGUUGGUUGUGUCCCUAGCUCCUUUAUUGGCUUCAUUGUAACUAGUGUGCCCUUUUUACCUUAUCUUGAUCCCCUUUGUUAUCUUUCUUCCCUUUUUCCCUUCAUCCCUUUCCCCUUUGUUGCAUAAUGGCGGUGAUUGGCGAUGGUAGAAAAGGGUCAUGUCAUAGGUCGAGGUCGGGUUCAUGGUCAGGAGAUGUUGGGUCUGGGUCGGGGUUUGGGGGGGUUGGGUCUGGGUCGGGUCUAGGAUUGGGUUUGGAGUUAGGGGCUAGGGGUAGUAAGGUUAGGCGGGAUAAGGGAGCUUUUAGGUUGCGAGUUACGUCUUGGAACAUCGGUACUUUGCAUGGUAAGUCUAUAGAGCUGGUGAAGAUUCAUAGAAAGAGGAGGGUUAGUGUAGCGUAUGUCCUGGAAACUAAAUGGGUAGGCACUAAAGUGAGAGAUGUGGAUGGAUAUAAGUUGUGGUACUCGGGUAGCGUGAGACAUAGAAAUGGGUAGGUAUCUUAGUAGAUGAAAAUCUUAAGGAGCAGGUGGUAGAGGUAAAGAGAGUUAGUGAUAGAUUGAUGUCUAUUAAGUUGGUCAUAGGAGUGUCUACGGUGAACGUUAUUAGUGCCUACACCCCGCAAGUAGGUUUAGACGAGGAGGAGAAGAAGAAAUUCUGGGAGAUUUUAGAUGAGGUGAUGAGGAGCAUCCCGAGCAUUGGAAAGCUUUUCGUGGGAAGGAAUUUCAAUGGGCAUAUUAGGUCUCUGUUGAGAGGGUACGAUGAUGUGCAUGGUGAUUUCAGUUUUGGUAAGCAGAAAGAAGGAAAAACUUCUCUGUUGGAUUUUUCUAGGGCUUUUGGGUUAUGGAUAGCAAAUUCGAGCUUUUCGAAGAAGGAGGAUCACCUUAUUAUGUUUCAUAGUUCAGUAACCAAGACUCAUAUAGACUUUUUGAUUCUUAGAAAAGUGGAUCGAGUGCUAUGUAAAGACUGUAAGGUCAUACCUAGCGAGAAUCUCUCAACUCAACAUAGGUUGUUUGUGAUGGACUUGGUUAUGAAUAAGGGCAAAAAAAAAGAGAAGUGGGGAGGCACGACCCAGGAUUAAGUAGGGUAGCUUGACUUUGGCUAGUGCUUUGGAGAUGGAAGAAAAGUUAAAGAGUAGGGGGCGUGGGAGAGUAGAGGGGAUGUAGAUAAUAUGUAGGAGACGACUGUCAGUUGCAUUAGGGAGACCGCUAGAGAGGUGUUGGGUGUCUCAAGAGAUCGAUCUGGCAAACAUCGAGGAGACUAGUGGUGGAAUGAAGAGGUCAAGAGAAAGGUGGAGUCUAAGAAGGUGGAUUAUGCUAAGUUGGUUAGGAGUAAGGAUGAUGAGGAAAGGCAGAAGAAUAAAGAGGAGUAUAAGGUAGCUAGAAGAGAAGCUAAGUUAGCAGUUACGACGGCUAAGACAACAGCUUUUGAGAGUUUAUAUGAGGCUUUAGAGGAGAAAGAUAAAGAUAAAAAGUUGUAUAUGAUGGCCAAGGACAGGAAGUGGAGGGGCUCAUAACCUUGACCAGGUGAAGUACAUCAAAGGAGAUGAUAGCAUAGUGUUGGUUGAGGAUGCCCUCAUUAGGGAGAGGUGGCAGUCCUAUUUUCAUAAACUUUUGAAUGACGAGGGGGACAAAGGUUUUGUGUUGGGAGACUUGGAGAUAUCUGAGGAGGGUCACGAUUAUAGUUAUUGUAGGCAUAUCGAUAUUGAGGAGGUCAAAGGGGCUAUUUCCAGGAUGCGGUAGGGUAGGGUGACAGAGCCAAAUGAGAUUCCAGUAGAUUUUUGGAAGAGCACUAGAGGGGCAGGUUUGGAGUGGUUGACAAGGUUGUUUAACAUUAUUUUUAGAGCUGCUAAGAUGGCUGAAGCAUAGAUAUGGAGCACGAUGAUUUCAGUGUAUAAGAACAAGGAAAACAUUUAGAGUUGUAACAACUAUAGAGGUAUUAAGUUGUUGAGUCAUACUAUGAAGGUUUGGGAAAGGGUGGUAGAGUUGAGGAUGAGGAGGAUCGUGACGAUCUCUAAGAAUCAGUUCAGUUUUAUGCCUAGUCGCUCGACCACUGAGGCCAUUCACCUUGUGAGGAGAUUAGUGGAGCAGUUUUGAGAGAGGAAGAAUGACUUGCACAUGGAGUUUAUUGAUUUAGAGAAGGCAUAUGACAGAGUUCCCAGGGAGAUUCUGUAGAGGUGCUUGGAGGCUAAAGGGUUGCCCAUGGCGUACACUAGGUCAAUUAAGGAUAUGUAUGAUGGUGCCAAGACUCGUGUGAGGACGGUAUGUGGAGAUUCAGAGAACUUCACAGUUUUGAUAGGGUUGCACUAGGGAUCUACUCUUAGCCCGUUUCUAUUUGCUUUGGUAAUGAAUGUUUUGAUGCGACAUAUUCAAGGGGAGGUGCCUUGGUGUAUGUUAUUUGUAGAUGAUAUGGUUUUAAUAGACGAGACUUGGGGUGGAGUUAAUGAUAAGUUGAAAAUUUAGAGACAGACGCUUGAAUCUAAAGGUUUUCGAUUAAGUAGAACCAAGAUGGAGUACUUGGAGUGUAAGUUCAGUGAUAUGUCGCAAGAAGAUGGAGUGGUUGUGAAGCUAGACUCUCAGGCCAUCUAGAAUAGGGAGAGUUUUAAGUAUCUGGGAUCUAUAAUUUUGGGUAAUGGUAAGAUUGACGAUGAUGUCACGCAUUAUAUUGGGGCAGGGUGGUUGAAGUGGAGGCUCACUUCGGGAGUCCUUUGUGAUAAGAAGGUGACCCCGAAGCUUAAAGGUAAGUUCUACAGAGUGGAAGUUCGGACGGCUAUAUUGUAUAGAGUGGAGUUUUAGCCAAUUAAGAACUCCCACAUCCAAAAGUUAAAGGUGGCGAAGAUGUGAAUGUUGCGAUGGAUGUGUGGACAUACCAGGAAAGAUAGGGUGAGGAAUGAGAUUAUUCGAGAGAAGGUAGGAGUUGCCUCGGUGGAGGAUAAGUUAUGAGAAGUAAGGCUUCGUUGGUUCAGGCAUGUGAUGCGGAGGGGCCUUGAUGCUCCAGUGGGGAGAUGUGAGACUCUGGAUAGGGAUGGUUUUAGGCGGGCCAGAGGUAGACCGAAGAAAUAUUAAAGGGAGGUGAUUAGGUAUGAUAUAGAGCAAUUACAACUUAUAGAGGACAUGACCCUUGAUAGAAAGGUGUGGAGGACGUGGAUUAGGGUAGAGGGUUAGGGGGUGGGAGUGCGGAGGUAGUAAUAAGGGAGUGCUCCUUUGGGUUUGGAGUUUCUGGUUCGUAGUGUUGUGGCUGUAGUUUGGGGCUAGUGGUGUUGGAUUUUUCGCAUCCCAUACUAGUUUAUUAUGCACUUAUCUUUUGUGUUUGUUAUACAGUUAGUUUGUUUUGUGUACCAUACUAGUUUAUAUGAGCCUACUUUUUGUAUUUGUUAUACUUUUAUUGGUCCUAAGCCGAGGGUCUAGCAGAAACAACCUCUCUACUUCUCUUAAGAUAGUGGUAUGAUCUGCGUACACUCUACCCUCCCCAGACCUCACUAAGUGGGAAUACAAUGGGUAUGUUGUUGUUGUUGUUGUAAUGUGACAGAUAGAUCUCUAAGUUUAUCUUGUAAUUACUUGCAAGGUGAUAAGAUGGUUCAUCAUAACUUUUUUCUUUUGGGUUAAAACAUAUACUUCAAUUGGAAAAACAUAAUAGUUUACAAAAGGAGGCAUUCAUCCUGGAUCAACCAAAAAAGAUGUUGGAUAAGGACUAGCUUGGAAAUCAUGAGAAGAGUUUGUUCUCCUAAUGUAACUAGUUCCACUAAUGUCUGUCCAGACAUGCUUGGAAGCAUAUAUUGGAGGAACUACAAAAAUAAGUGUUCUUUAAAAACUUCCAUUGAUGCUCCCUUCUUUGCAAGUGCAUCAACCACUCCAUUUUGUUCACGAUAAAAAUGCUAUAUAUACUAGAGAACUUUUUAGCCUUCUUAGUAUCAACCUAUAUUUAUCAACAAUCUUACCAUUUUUAAGCAUAGAAAGCACUUCCAUAGAUUCUAUAUUACUGAUGAUGGGGUGGGAUUGUUUUCUUCAGCAAUUUUAAGGCCUUCUCUUAAAGCAAAGAGCUUCAUCUGGUUGUUGGUAACUCUAAUUUAACUUUUGGAGAUACCAAUGAUCCAAUCCACUAUGUGUUUCUAAUUACAAAACCUAUUCCACCCUUUCCAGGAUUUCCCAAGAAAGCACCAUCAAUGUUAUAAGCUUAUAAGGCAUUGGAAAAGGGGGGAUUAUCUUGGGUGGGGAGUUACCCUUGUUUUACAGUUGGGAGUAUUUCAUAUCCUCAUUUUAAUUACUAUUGAAGGAGGAUAUGUCUUUUUUGAGGUUGAACAAGUUAUGUUUUCUGUUCCUCCAGAUAGACCAGAUGCAUUAAGGAAGGAGAUUUUCCCAAGAUACUAACCUAUUGAAGUUGGUGCUUUUGAGAGAGCUCUAAGUGAAAUUUUAGUUGGCGGUGGAGAACGAGUCUAGAUUAAUGGGCAUAUAGAUGAAGGACUUCCUAAUGAGAUUAUUCCAGAAGUUAUAGGUUAAGGGUACCUAUAAAAAAUAUGGUCAAGGUCUUCAAUUUGUUUUAUGCAGAAGCUAUAAUUUGGGUUGACAUUAAUUCCCCUAGAAACUAGAGUAAAGCUAGUGGGAAGGAUUUUAUGAUCCAUUAACCAAAGGAAAAACUUGAUCUUAUUGGCAGUAACUAUUUUCUAAAUCCUGUUCAAACGAUUACCAUUAUAGGGGUUGUCUUGGGUGAGAAAGUUAGCUAUGUGGGUAUAGGCACUCUUGUAUAAGUAGAUUAGCAGUAAGUUCCCAAAUAAGAAAAGAUGUGAUGAGGUAUAUCAAAAGAAAUAUUUUGAGGGUCCCAAUUGUUAUCUUUCCAGACAUCAAAGAGUUUAAGAGAAGAGAUGGAGGGAAAUGAGAGACCUUGAAUAAGGUGGUUGAGGAAGGGUGAUUAGGAAUCCAUCUAUCAAGCUAAAAUUUCAAUUUGUAGUCCUUGUGGACAAUCCAUUAGGAGACAUCUGUGUAUAUUUCCCAUCCUUUCAUGAUGAUAUAAGUUCUAGAGUAGGGGCAGGGGAAAACUCCCAUAUUUCUAUAUGAGGACAUCUUCCCAUAAGGAAUUUUAUGGUUAUUAUUGAAUCUUCAAGAUAAACUACUGAGAAUUGUGGUGUUCUUAUUAGCAACUUUUUAAAUUCCAAGCCCUCCAAGGUGCUUGGGAUUGGUGAUAGUAUAUCAAUUUAUCAGGUGCAUCUUCCUUCUAUCCUUAGAGAAGCCCCAAAUAAAGUUUCUUUGGGUUCUACUAAUUAGAUUAAGAAGUUUAUAAGGCAAGAAGAUAUAUUGUAUGACAUAGUUGGGCAUACUAUCUAAGGAGGCUCUAGAAAGGGUAGUUCUACCAAACAUGUUCAAAAUUUUUGUUUUCCAACCAGUCAACUUCAUGUUAAGAUUGUCAAUAAUGAAUUGAAAAUCACUUGAGGAGGGCUUCUUAUGGAAUAUGGGGAAGCCCAGGUAUUUCCCAAAUAUGUCUUUAGCAAGAACGUUAAGGAUAGAGGAGAGUCUAUUUUUUCCCUCUUUACUAUAGUUAUUGAAGAAGAUAACUUUCGAUUUGUAAGGGUUAAUCUUUUGCCCAGAGAAAUGGCUAUUAACAUUGAGAUUGUUGACAAUGGUGGUGCAAUUGAUAUCAUCAGCUCUGACUAUCAAGGUAAGAUCAUAAAAAAAAGAGAUAAGAAAUUCUAUGGCUUCAUUUGUUGAUAUCAUAGGGUUCCAUCUCAGGAGGUCUACUUUAUGGUCAAUUCUUCAAGAAAGAAGUUCCAUAUAUAAAAUAAAAAUAUAGGAGGAGAUGAGAUUUUAUUUUCUGAUGCCCCUUGAGGGCUUGAAGAAAUGAGUCUUGCUACUAUUUGUAAGAACAAAGAUGAAAGAAGAGGAAUUCAAGAUGUGAUGGGGCUCAGAGGCCUUUAGGAAAGUUGAAGAAAGUUAGAACAUGUCUGAUAAAGACCACUCUAAUCCAUCAGAGGUCUUCUCAAGAUAAAUUUUGAGGAUUAUGUUAGCUUUUUUCCUUUUUAUUUUAUGAAAAUGGCUGAUGUAUUCAUGGGAAAUUAUGGCAUUAUCAGAUGCUCUUCUUUUGGAUAUGAAGCAAGCUCGACUUUUGCCAAUGAUGUUGACCAUAAAAGUUUUUAUUCUAUUGACAAUGAUUUUUCCAAUAAUCUUGUACUGAGUAUUACAAAGGCUAAUAGAUUCAAAGUUCUUAAGGGUGGAGACAUUUGUGCACUUAGGGAUGAUACAGAGGUAAGUAGAGUUAACUCUUUUAUCCAUAGUGUAGAAAGAGGAGUCAUUAUAGAACUUGAUGAGAGGGUUGAUGUCGCCCAAAACUACAUUCCAAUUAGAAAUAUAAUGUGGUCGGUUGCAAAUAUAAUAACCCAACUAGGUUGGGGUUGAUCCCACAGGAAAAAUGUGAACAAUUGCUUGACUUGAUGUAAUCCUCGAGUAACAUAUGAAAGUAAAUAGGGGGAUCAUAGUAUCAAGCACAAGUAGUAACCAAACUCUUGAGUACUUUUGAGUUGUAGACAAUAUGAGAUAAACACUAGGUUUGUAUUUUCCCUGGCUUCUGAACUCUAUAAAUUUCUUGAGAGAUCAACCCAACUGUUCUGUUGUUCUACAUACAAAGUCUAUAAGAUAGGUAUUAUCAGUCACCUAGUGAGUGCAAAGAUAAAUUUCACCCUUUACCACGUAGGUCUCAGGGUGUCGCCUUGUUGUUUCUUGCUAUGACCUCAGUUCACUAUCAGGGGGUGGGACAAGUGAUUAGAUAAGAUGGCAAGAACUAAAAGGUAGAGGUGAAUCUCAAAUCACUGUCCUAAUCUUCUUUUUCCAAUCACAAUCUCCCUUGUAGGGAUGGAUGCGAAUACAUGCGAUCCUAAGUUACUGCAAAUAAUUGAGAUUAAUUAUUGUGAAGAAGAUUAAGAUACAUGUAUAAACUCUAGAAUAGAUAAGUUUCACAUUUUUCUACAUAGCUAAUCCACCAGGGUUCCCACAACCCUAGUCAAGGAGAGUAGCCGCUCAUGUUUGUGCAAGAAACCAUGAUUCUCACUAAAUAACACGUAAAAUCAAUUGCACAAGAAUAAGAUGAUUAAAAUCCAAAUUCUUUAAUUGAAUAAACCCUAAGAUCUCAAUAACAAUUGUAAAAGUAUUGUAAUAUUAUGUAAAAGAGAGUAACCUAAUGAAAGAUAAACUCUACGGCAUUUAUAGUAUCUCAAAAUAACAUUAAAAUCUUAAUAAAAAUGAGAAAGAUAAAGUUAUGUCGGCAGUUGGUACGACUAGGUCUUCACUCAGAUCAACUUCAUAUGAGUUGUACCCUGCCUUCUCGUAUCUAUUCCAGUGUCUCAUCUCCCAAGGCUUUAACUUCCUAUUCAGCUUACGACUUCUUCUUACGAGUCAUACCUGAGUGUACGACUCGCGUCCUUUACUCGUAUCCACAUGGGACUUUUGUCUUCUAAUCUUUGAGCAUUGGUUUGUAUACUACAUCCUUAUAUGAGUUGUACUCAGACGUUCGACUCAUAUACUUUUGAUACUUUAAUUCUUGAGCAGUAGCUUAGGUUUUGUUAUGCUUAUGACUUCUCCGUACGACUUGUAUCCUGUCUUAUGACUCAGAUACUUGAUUCGUAUCUUCCCCAUACUUGGCUCUACAGGUUGACCUUUGGUUUUGUCGUGAGUACGAUUUUGCCUACAAGUCAUAUCGGAUGGUUAUGAUUCAAGAGCUGACUAGUAUACUGCUCAAAGUUGGUCUUUUUCAGGUCUCUUUCUUUUUUUUUGGUUCAAACAUUGUAGUAGAACUGUUUUACCUGUAAUUCAUAUGAAAUACAUCAUAUCUAACAAAAUAUCCUAAGUUUACGCAUGAUUCACAGUUUUAAGUAUUGAAAGUGUCGUAUUUCCAUGCCAAAUCACGGGUGGCUAAAAGUUUCCCAAAAAAUUUAAAAGAUCAAGAGGUGGAGCCCAUCUAAACCAAAAGCUUUAGAGGGAUUGAAGAAGAAGACAACACUCUUGAUCUCUCUUUAACUAGGAAUGCUUCAAGAAGAAGAUGGUCCUCCAUAGGGAUGGAUACAGUGGAUGAAGGUUUAUUUUAGCAAAGGAGAGGGGAAGACAAGUGUUCAGAAGUGAAGAGUUUAUUAUAGAAGGAGAUAAUGGUAUUAGUGAUUUUCCUUUCAUCAUAAAUCCAAUUGCUAGAGUUAUCUCUAAGGCCCUGGAUUUUUGUUUUUUCUCCUCAUAUUAAGGGUGGUACUAUGGAAAAUUUAGUGUUUGAGUCCCCUUUUAUAAGAUAGUUGAUUCUGGAUUUUAGUUUCUAAAAUUCCCAUUCUUGUUAGAAGAUGUCACUGUAGUCUUUAAAGAAGGUGUUUUUAAGGUUAUGAAGGAAGGAACUAGUGGAAUAGUGCAUGGAUUUUUGGAUACCAACAAUUCUGACAAAAGUAUUUUUUUUUCUUAUUAAAACAUUGCCAAAAAACCUCUUUAUUCUAAAUUUUGAUGGAGGUCUGAAAGUUAGAAGUAAAAUUGCAAAGAUACAUAUCUUUAGAGAAAGAGUUUUGGACCAUGUCCUUGAACAGCAGAUGGGUCCACCAUAUGAUCUCAACUCUAAAAGGUUUGUUAGAAGUAUUAGUAUCCUUGGAAAGACUAAUGAGAAGAGGACAGUGGUCAGAGUGGGUCCUACAAAAAUGAGUUAUAGAGGCUUCAGGAAAGAGAUGGAUCUAAGAAUCAUUCAUAAAGAAUUUAUCAAGGCUGUCAAAAAUAAGAUCACUCUUCUUUAUAUAUCUCUUGUUAUUCCAAGUGUAUUUACUACCAAUAAACCCAAGGUCAGUUAGGCUACAAGGAUUGAUCCAAUUCUAAAAGUAGGAAACUCUGUUGCUAUUUAUGGAGUUGCCCCCAUACUUAUUAAAAGCCUUAAGGAUUUCAUUGAAAUCAUCCCUAAUAAUCUAGCUAUAGUUAGUAGAGUUCCUAAUACUAUCAGCUAUGUGAGAGAGUUGAUUCCAUAAGAAAAUUCUAUCAUUAAAAGAGUUGAUGGGAUAAAUAGUACUAAGGAACUAUUUAAAGAGAGGAGAGUGGACCUAAACAAAUCCAUGGAUAGCUUGACUGAAGAUGGAGAAACUAAUUAUGCUAAGGGAUCCAUCCUUCCACAUAAUGACAAUGCCUCUAGAGUUACUAAUGGUAGAGUGUUGGAUAUAGUUUGAGAAGCCAAGAUCUUUAAUGAUGCUUUUAUAGCCAGUCAUUCUAGUUUUCAGAAGAACAAGCAUAGAGGGAUGGUGAAUUUUAAUAAUGAAUUUGCAUUGCCUUCUAAACUCAAUAUUAUUUUCCCCGGUAUUCUAUACUAUGCAGUUCAUCAUCAUUUAGUGGUUGAGUUUUGAGAUUUUCUCUGGACUUUCUUGCUCUUUCCCCUUUAGUUGGAAGUCUAUGGAUUCUAUAGUUCUUUUCUCCUUUUUGAUAGUGGUUUUACCUUUACUAUGAAGGUUUCCACUAUCAUUGGUCUUGGGAUAAGAAUGACCAGUUUUAAUUUGGUAAGGUCCAGAGGGAGAAGAAUAAUGACUAAUUUUUGGAUGAUUUCUGUGAACUCUAGAGUUAGUAUAUCUAUCUUUGGAACUUUUGAGCUUUCCAAAAUACUUCCUAUUUCUCUGUUAUUUUCUCUCAGUAUGUUUAGGUUUUUGUCUCCUUCCAUCAUUUACAGAGCUAAUAGAGAGGUUGAUAUUAGAGUCUCUAUUGGGGGUUCGGGGGGGGGGGUCUCUAUUAAUUUUCAUAAAAAUUGAUCCCUUAGAUAGAAGUGUUGGCUCACAUAAGGGAAGAAUGUCAUGGACUAGCUUAUCAGGUUUAUCUGCUCUGAUAAUGAGGCUGUGGUGAGGUCCCCCUGAAAGGAGUGACUCAUCACUUGUAUGAGAGUCGAGAUCCAUACAUUGUUUCUAUAACUUAGGAGUUCUUAGUUUAGAUAAGAUGCUGUCACUUGGUCUAAGUAAGCAGGAUCUUGGAUGAUUACUUUUAUGGGAUUGUGCUCCAGUCCCAUGUUUAGGGAGAGAUAUUGAGUUUGGAGACCCAUUUUGAUCCAUGUGGAGGAGAGGUAUCUAAAAGUGGUUCCCUUAUGAUAAAUGUGACUAGAGGAAGAAGGGGAUUUGAGAGUGAGGAAGGAAUAGUCAUUAAGAGGAGUAGAGGUUUGAGAGCGGUGAGAUAGUACAGAGGGGAAUCUAGUUUUCAGAGGUAUCUUUCUUCUUUCUCAAAUUUUAGUAACUUCAAUAUUUAAUGUUGAGGGAGAUAAAGUGACUAUAUCCAUAAAAUCCCCAGUGCCUGCUAUGCCACACACUGAUAUUUCACUUGGAAAAAAAGACAGACGUUUGGUUACCAGAGAGAGACAGAGUUAAAAAAAUUUAGGGUGUUCAUUACACCCAUUAUUACUAUUAUUCUUGUUGUCUUUUUUAAUAUCACGAGAAGAAGAAUAAUUUACUUAAGGCUUGGAAUUCUUUAGUAGAAAGAGUAAUAUUGAGAUUACUAUUCAUCUUCGAAUAGUUGGUGUUUGGAUGUCCCAUAGAGAUUGAUUAGAUUUUUGGCCUUCGGAUAAUGUUUUAGGACUUUCUAUGUCAAUGAGCCUUUUCCUAUUAGAAACAAGAUCUGACCUAAUAUAUAAGGGUUUGGUAAAGUUGGUCUGGUUGCUUUGCCCAUUUGACUUAUAGGUGUUGGGCCUAUUUCUAUUGAAAUUUGAGGCUGGCCCAAUAGAUUAGCCAAGAAUCCCUUUCUCUUUUGAGUUAGGUCUGACAUUUAUCAGUUUAAUGCGAAUGUUUGACCUCCAACAAGCUUGGUCAAGCCUGGGCUAUAAGCAUAAUUAUGGGUUUCAAAGAACUUUAUGGGUUUCCAAGCACUUACUUUAAUCCGCAUCGAAGAGUUUUAUCUUGAUUUUCUAUUGAGAGUCACUUGUCUUGUGUAUGUUUCCUUUUUUGUCUUGUGACUCUAUCUUCGUUCUUGGGUGAAAGUCAUAGUUUUCCCAUCUCCAUCUAUUUUUUAUCCACUAGUAGUUUGUCCUACCAAAGGAAUGCUAAUGGGUUUGUGGGGAAUAUUAGACUAGUAUACUGUAUUGGAGCCUAUCUUGCCAAAGAAGUGUCAAGAUUUUAUGGGGGCAUCUUAGACUAGUGUGACCCAAUCUACUGCACAAUUUGAAGAGGAUCCUUUCACGCUCAUAGAAAACUAGAUGCUUGUGAUUUUCAAUGGUGACAGAGGUUUUUACAAGCGUUUCUAUUGGAAUUUGUAUGCAUAUUAUUGUAUAUCUGCCUCUCAAGGUCUAGGAGGUGCACAUGUUGAUCUUAACAAGCUCUUUAGUUUUCUCCUUAUUUUUUAGAUUUUGUUUAUCAUAAAACUCGAUAAAGAGAGCUAGAAAUCAAACAUGAUAAUGAAGGAGAUCUGGGAUUCAUUUGUGAUGAAGUUUGGUUCCUAAUUUCUUCUUGUGAGGAAACUACACGCUACAAACCAUGGUCCUCCUUGUAGUGCCUUGAUGCGGCUCUCUUGAGUGUUGAGUUUUACAGUGUAAAAAUCAGAAGCCAAAUCUAUUAGGUAGAAAAUUUUUCAUUGAGUUUUCAGAGAUCUGAGAGUUUUGUAUUGAGGUACUGAUGAUUGAAUUUCCUAUUGAAAGCUUUGAUUAUUACAGAGAAUCUCCACAGGGCAUAUAGUAUUUUUUUCAAUCGAAAGUGUUUUCAGGUUAUCGUUCAUAUCUAGAUUGAUGAAGUUCCCUUCUAUAAAAUUUGCGGAGUUUGAAAUUUCAUGGAGAGUGUUUAGUAUGAAAGUAAGUUUCUUUGCCUCCCCAUCAAUUGUGACUAGGUCUAUUGGAUCUGGUGGUUUAGGUGGAGAGUUUUUGUCUACCGCUGGACAUGAUAAGAAGGUUUAUCUUUAUUUUUUUCAAAAAAGUUUGGUUUUUUCAAUAGGAAAUUGCUUAUCUCAGCUUCUUUUAUUAAUGAAUUUGUAUUAUGAUAUAUUUUAGGUUCUAAUUUGGGAGUUGAAAAAUAAUAAUUUUAGUAGUAGAGAAGGUCAUACUCAUGAAAUUACAGAUGUUCAUUUUAGACCAAAACUCAAUGGUGUUUACAACAUCUUCUCUUGACAGAAUUGUGAAAAUAUGGGAUGCAGACGAGGUACUACCACUAUUGCCAUAAUGAUAGCUUUCUAAUAUCUUGAAUUUAUUUCUUUUAAUUUGUGUCCAUUACAACCAUGAAAUCGUACAUAUAUUACCAUUUUGUCAUUAUCCAGCCAAGCAACAGGGUUCAAAAUUUUGUUGGCCAUGAUGAGCAAGUGAUGUCAAUAGAUUUUUAUCCAACAAAGAUAAGUCUCAUCAGUUCUUGUGAACGAAAUGAUGAGAUUAGAUUGUGGGAUGUCACUAGGGACGAUUGCAACCUCAUUCUUAAGAUUGGUGCCUCUAUUUCCUUCCUUUUUGAUUUUUAGAUGUUCAUAAAGAGGUAUCUUUAUUUGACAUAGGAAGACUUCUUAAUUUGGUAGUUAGCUAUUUUUCUAUUUCUAUUUCAAUUUGGAGAUUCCUUAGUUACCUCAUUCAAAAUUAUUUUUGAAUUUAUUUUUCUUUAAUUUCUAUAUUUAGUGUAGGAACUAUUUUUCAAAUUAUUCUUUCUUUUUCAUUUCAAGAAAUUUAAGGUUUUCAAAAUUUGUAGUUAGUGAUCACCGAAUACUCAUGCAAAAAGAUAUUUUAGAAAAUAAAAGGGUUUCACCAUAGUAUUUGAACCAACAUUCAUAUCACAUUAAAUAUCACAUUGUACAAUAUUCUAAACAACAUACUUUGUAGGGAAUUAGGUAUUAUUCAUUCACCAUAAAAGAUAUUAAUCGCUCUUGAUACAAAUGCAGGAAGGUAGUACACAAGUUAGAUUUCAACCUCAUUUGGACACCUUUAGGCAAGUUCUACCAAAAAUACUUUAAAUAUCUUUUAUAUCGAGACUAACAACAUCAAAUAAAAGUUACAACUAAGAUUCUUACACUUGUUCAUUGGUCAAACGUGUUUUAAAUUUCUUACAUGUUGCAUUACUAUAUUGUAAUAGUGUGAUGUUGGGUUUAUUUGGUUUAUAAGGACACGUCAAAAACAUCUGUUCAAUUUGUUGGGAUAUGAGUGGAAAUUACUUAGCAUUUGUAAGCAAAUAUAGUGCACAAAUAUGGUCUAUAUGUGAAGGAACGUGCAUAUCAGAAUUGUUCUCUAGUGAGAAUUAUUUAGCGGUAAUUUUGACUUUUUAAGAGUCGCUACUUAAUUUAUUUGAAAAGAAAUUAAGAAAACCUUUAAAAGUUACUUAAAUGAUCCAAAACAAAAAAAUUAUUUAAGUUUGAAGAUCCUGAGUAAGCAGUUCCUAUUAAUACUCUUGGAAGGUUGUUAAGGCACCAAGAGUAUUCGCUAACUUGCGGUUAUCCGGACUGUUUGAAAAUAUCUUUUGACUAACUUCAAAAAGAAAGAUUGAUUGUUAAAAAGUAAUUGAUUUUAGGAAAAGACUUGUGUAAGAUAUAUUUGGACGACCUAGUAGGGAUUUUAACUAAGUCUAAACAAAUUAAUAACAAAGCAUGUAAAAGGGAAAAGGGAGAAAAUAAAAGACUUAUGUCAUUGGACCCAAAUCAAUAGACCCUGUCCAAAUCUAAUUGGGAUUUUGUCCUACUUGCACCCGUCCUAAUCUAAAUAUUGGGCUUUCGUUCCACAACCUGUCCUAAGCUAGUUUUCGGACCUUUGAGGCCCAAAAUUCAUCUCACCUGUAUUAAAAUACAACUUUGGCUUCAAGGCCCAAAUGAAUGAAUAAAUAAAUGACUAAAUGAAUAAAUAAAAAGAAGACAAUAAUAAAAAAUAAGACUUUUCAAGUCUCUUAGUGACCUUAUCAAUGGAUUUUGACUCAUUUUCCUUCUUCGUCUAUCUUCUAGCACCCGCACGCCAUGUAGUGGGCCUUGGGUUUAAACUUCGGAAUUGACUCAAAGAUGUGAGCCUCAUUGACCUAUUACGAAAUGCAAGAGGAGAGGAGUCCAUUUGAACUCGAGAUAUUUUUUACUUGCAAAGAAAAGAUAAAGAACUUAAUAUACGUUCAAGGCAUAAUAGUUACAUAUUUCAAAGCAAAAGAAAAUAUCAAGAAUCAAUUUUUUAGUUACAAUGAUAUGCACAGUUGCACACGUAUAACAAGAGUGAGAGUCAAUUGAUAAAAUGCAAAGCAAAGACAUCCACUUGCACGCCUCAUGAUUUUUGUUCAUAUUAAGAAUGAAUAAAGGUAAAAGGAAGAAGGUCAUAUUCAGUGAAUUAAUGCGAGAAACAAACAACAUAAGAUUGCGAAAUUAAAGGGAUGGGGCAACAAGAAAAAUACUCAUAACUUCUAAAAUUGAACAAAUAUAGACACUAAUCCAUAUAACAAAAAAAAAUAAAGGUUAACUUUUCAAGAAAGAGAAUCUUUAAAUUUCAAUUAAGGCGACAUUAACAAAAAUUUAUACAUCUAAAUUACAACCAACAUUUUAUGGAAAAGCAUAUAACGACCUAUGGUUUAUAUUUCUAAGACAUCGUUGAUUCUCUUUGAUAUUAUGAAUAAAAGAGAGACAUGAAUCAAGUCUUUACACACAAAAAGAGCACAUAUAAUAAUCCGGAAUAAGAAAAUAAGAAUAAAAGUUUAGCAUCUCUAAAAUUGAAAUAUCGUUCAACAAUCAUACUAUGCAUGAGUCAAAAAUAUCCAAAUAAUUCUAUUUAGCCACAAAAGUCCGAACUUUCUCAUCAUUUUGACAAGACAACAUGCGAACAAAAGAGGAAUAAACAUCUUGGUGGAAAAUAAAGCUAGCACUUCAUCUCUUAUAUGAGGAUUUUGAAAUUCAUUAAAAUAAUUAGCAAACAAAUGACAAAUUCUUGACUUAACUAAUUACUAUUUUUAUUAAGGCGAAACAAACAAUAAUAAUUAUUUUUCCAACAUAAAAGAAAUAAUUUUACAUGCUAAAACAAACAUAUCCACCGACAAUGAAUUUAAACAAGGCAUGAGUUCGUCUUUUGAGCAAAGAUCAAAACUUUAUACAUAACAAUCAAAGAAUAAAGUCAAAAAGAAAAACAAUCAAUAUUAACUAUUCUUUUUAACAUAAAGAAAAUAACUUUACUUGCUAAAAACAAACAUAUCCACCAACAAUGAGUUUAAACAAAGCAUAAGUACAUAUUUUAAGCAAAGAUUGAAACUUUACUAUAAUAAUUAUAGAAUAAAGUCAAAAAGAGCAUGUACAACUAUUGCUAGCUCAUUUUUAUAUCAUGAACAUGAAAAUAAUAAAAAUAUCGAUACCACAACAUCCUAUGGCCUUCAAGGCCAUCUACAACAAACAAUCACAUCAAACAAAAUUAUAACUAUGAACUAUGAAGAAGAGAAAGAUGAAGAAUAAAACAAUAAUAAAACUAAAAAGAAAAAGGAAAGGUGUGUUUACCUUUAUGGGGGUAGCAAAACGAGACUACGAGCUUCGUCAGAAUCAACCACCACCUAAAAAAGUCGCCGGCAAGUCAAAAAUUUUGAUUAGCCGACCAACUCUAUGAAACAAAAUUUUUUACUAAAUAAAAAUAACUAUUUUGCUCAAAGGUCUUUUUCACCUUUCUAGCCUUUUUUUUUACUUUUCAACCCUUCUUUCUACCAAAGUAGUGGUAGUAUUUAUAGGAGAGAAUGAAGUUUUAUUUCAUUUCCUCCACUAAUGUGGGAGAAAAGUAUUUAUAGGAAAGGAUGAGAAUUUAUUUCUUUUCAUCCAUCAAUGUGGGAGAAAAGACAUUUAGGGGUGUUUUUGGAUUUUAAAAUUGAAGAUAAGGUGAAGUGAAAGAUAAUGUAUGUGUGUGUGUGUGUGGGGGGGGGGGGUUUCUUGGUCGUCUUCAUCCUCAUCUUACUUAGGAGCUCAAUAGCCUCAGUCUGUGUUAUAGACUGAGUAAAAUCUGUCCACUUUCCCCACUGUGACUUUUCUGUAAUCUAUAUGCCUAUCUUAGCCAUAAUAAUAGCUUCAACAACCUUCUUCUUUCCUAGUCACUGUCCCUGAUGCUUUGGUUGGGGCCGCUUUGUUCGGGGCUGUUCUGGUAUGGGCAAGUGCAUAUUCCUCCUUUGAGCUACCACUCUAGGAAGAUUCAGCCUGUUUCCUAGAAGCUGUGGAUAUCUUCUUUAAAUACUUAGGAUCCGUAUGUAUCUAAAAAACCAAGUUUUAGUAUUCAACAACUAAUAUUUUGAUAAUAAAUUAUAUUAAAAUUAAUAUUUUAAUCAUCAUAUUUAUUUUCAAAAUAAUCCUUAAUUAAAAUUCAAUAUUCCAUGGAAUAAAUAUUUAACUAAUUAAAUUAUAUAAUCUCGUAUAACUGAACACGAUAAUAUAUAAUUGCUACUUAAAAUGACAAAAUUACCUAUAAAAAAUAUGUUGGAAAAAAAAAUUAUUCGGAUGAAAUAAAUAUUUCAAUUUUAUUAAAAAUCGAAGAAACUCAAGAUUAAAUUUAGUUGUGGAGGGAAAAAAAUUAGGUUUUAACAACUAUCCCCUCCUUUGGGAGGGUGGAUGCAAGUAACCUUAGGCAAAGGGAGGUUGACGUUCCUAAUUUUUGUCCGACUACAAAUUCAAAUCUGAAAGAAGUUGGCUUUCGCAUGAGUUUGAUAGAGACAUGGCCGGACCUUGGUAUCAGGUUUUCUAUAUAUCUCAAGUUACAUGAGAAUUUAGGCCACUUGUAGUUCAUAAAGCUUGAUUUAAAGCACGACUUUCAAAAAAUUCACCAGCUAUCUCGAUUUUUAGAAUUUUUAACAAAACUAAAAAGUUAGGAAAUAGAGGGAUUUCGGGGAAUGUUGGAAUGCAGCCAAGUUUUUAAAAUAUUUCCCAACCUACAUAUCCCCGAGACUCAAGGAAUCAGACUACUUGUAGUUCGACUCAAUCGGUAGAAAAAAUAGUCUUUUAUUUCAGAUGAUCUUUGACUCGGGAUGAGCGACAAGUUGAUUGAGUUGCAAAAAAGAGGCUUGUAACCUCUUAACCAUGAACGUGGGAUCCUUCACAUCCAUAGGCAAGAACUUACCUAGACAUAAUUUUCAAAACUCUAGGUUUACUAUCACUCGAAUUUGAAAGAAAGAGAAGGUUAUCCUCGGUAUGAGUUUAGAAAUAUCCCGAAGGUGAAGCUGAAACCAGAAUAUCCUAAAAUACCCACAUUCCUUAUAAUAGGGGUAUGGUUGGAUGGUGGUGGUGAUCAUCUUUUAGUUCGCGUCUAAAGAGUUUGACGUUUCUCUCUAGACUAUAUCCCAUUUUGCUGCUAAGAAGGAGUUCCAUGUCGUGCUAUGUCCUAUCUAGAGUCGUCCGCACCUGUCAUUUUGAUUUGAGAUUUUCAUCCCCUCGGAUGCUCUUGGCAAUGUCUCAAACAAAAAUCGUUAGUUAUAAACAUAAUUCAUGAAAGAGGUAUAUAGUCUUUACCAUAUCUCCACGUGAGUUGUCGCCUGAAAAGCAAAGUCAUCCUUUCAUGUACUUGUUUGGAAGGAAAUAACUUGAAAUAACAGAUACAAAAACCCUCUUGGUUUUUUCAUAAUCAGACUAUUUAUCAGUUGAUAUGUCUUUAAAGUAGGAUGGCCCUUUUGGACAUCGCUGACACUUUAUGUAGAAUGGUCCCUGCAACCGUGUAAUCUUAUGCUAAUGCGACAACCUUUAGGUCACCUAUAAUUCUUGUCGUAUGUAGAAUUAUAACAUCUCUGGCUAUUGACAAUGUUUUUUUCCAUGUGACCCUCGGGUAAGUCUUGUGCAUCUUUUGUAUCGAUACAACUUACAGAUUUCCCUUAAAUUGUUAAUUUUUGGAUAAUCUCGCGUAUUAUUUGAUGUUGGAUACAAGGCAACUUACAGAUAUCCUUUGAAUUUCUAGCCUUUAGGUAAUCCUGCACAUUAUCCGACCUUCGAUAAGAUAUGGCCUAUAGAUAUUCCUCCAACUGAUAGUUGUUAGGUAUUCCUACACAUCAUCCAACCUUGGAUACAAUAUGACUUAUAGAUAUGUCUCAAAUUGCUAGUCUUUGGGUAAUCCUGCACAUAAUCAAUUAUGAUGUUCCGCAGAUUAUAGAGAACCCUUGGACUUAUCAAUUUAACAAUCUUGCAUAUUCUUCGGUAAGGAUUUAGUUACGACUUACGGAUAACCUUCAGACUAUCAAUUUUUGGAUAACCUUGCACAGUAUCUGAUUAGGAUAUUGUUGCGGAUUAUGAAUGACCUAUGGGCUAUCAACUCAUAGGUAAUCUUGCACACUAUCCUAUUUCAAAUAAUAUGACUUAUAGAUGACCCUUAGAUUGUCAAUUUCUAGAAAGUCUCAUAUGUCGUUCGCUUUUAGAUAGAAACUUAAAGAUGCCCCUUUGAAUCACUUGAUUUUGAUACAUUUAGAUGCUUAUUCAUAAAAUGAUGAGAUAUUAUUGAAGUCAACGUAUGCUAUCUUAUAUGUUAAUAGAUAUUAGAUGCUAAUGAUAUCCUCGACGCCAGCGUAUGCUAUCUCGCGUGCCAACAGAUAUUAGAUGUUAAUGAUAUCCUCGAUGCCAACAUUUAUGUCUCACGUGUCAAUAAAUAUUAGAUAUUGAUGAUAUCCUCGAUGCUAGCAUUUGUGUCUAACGUGUCAAUAGAUAUUAGAUGCUGAUGAUAUCCUCGAUGCAAUGUUUGCUAUCUUACAUGUCAACAAAUAUUAAAUACAUUGGUCCUCUUGGCAAUGAAAUGAUAUGAAAUAGCCCUUUUGGAAAUGGCAUAAAAUGGAUCUCUCGGUGAUGAUAUGAAAUGGCCCUCUCGGUAAUAGCAUUAAAUGGCCCUCUCGGCAAUGGCAUGAGAUGGCCCUCUUAGAAAUGAGAUGAAAUAGUUCUUCCGAUGGUUUGAAAAUAGUUUCACCUGAGUCUGUUUUUCUGCAUUUUACUUUCUACAUGUACCUGUACUCAAGGUAGAUAGUUAGUAGACAUAAUAUUGCUCCCACUGGCGACCACAAUCAAGCUUUAUGAUAGUUUAAUGACAAAUACUGAGCAUCAUAAUUUGAAUGACUUAUUCUGCUAUUAAUCUUGUCUCUUUGAAGAAAUAAUUAAAUAGCAGAUCCACCGAAUGCAAGUAAAUGGGGCAAAAUCCUUGUUUAGAGACUACUCAAAUACUGUUUGCUUCACUUCAAGGCGAAUUUUGAGGAUGACUUUUGGCUCUUCCUCCUGUUGAGUAAUACUUUGAUUGUUGUAUUUAUUGUGCCAAUUUUCUUGAAUGCACCUGCACUUAAAGUAAAUAUUUAAUAGUCAUAAAGCCGCUUAUGCUAGAGACUCCUUUUAUAUAAAGAAUUCCAAAUACAAUAUUCAUAAAGUAGAUAAGGCAACUUUGUUUGUCCUUUAUGGUCUAAAGAAAUAAGAUAGACAUUUCAAAAGGUCCUCAAUAAAUGGAUAUUAAGCCCAUCUUCGGGGCUAUCCGAAAAUACCGUUCUUGAGCAUUAUGUGCAUAGGAGUAGAUCACAAUCGCUUGGGGGUUUUCUGAAAAAGAUUUUCAUCUUUGUAUAUUAAUCCCUACAUCUACAGAAAAACAGUUAAUUUUGAGUGAAACUACUCCGUGUUGACCUUCUUCGGUCCUUUAUUUGCUCCUCGUCAUCUUUUGGGUACUCCAUCAUGUUGAGACUUCCAUCUUGACUCUUCAUUCCAAUAGAUGUCUAUGAAAUUACUAAAUAAAAUAUUCGUAUUGAUUUUCAAAAAUAGUCUUAUUUUUAGAAACGAGUUUUAAAACUUCUACAAAAGAUUUAGAAAAUCUCUGCCAGUCAUGUCAUGUACCAGCUCAAUGAACAUCUUUCUGUUGGUUUUGACUAUAUCCGAUGGAAGAUUUUCAAAACUUAUCAUCAUUGUUGAGGCUUUCUAUCAAAAGUUUUGUCUAGCCGAAGAUUUAGUCUAACUAGACUUUGUCGCAGAUGGUGACUUCUAAAGAUUGACUUUGACCUCUGGUGCUAGGGAAUUUGAAAUAUAUUCCAAUAUAUUAGUGGAAAUUUUGAGGACCUUCUCAAAAUUUAUGCCCCAGUUUAAGGUUGUUUGAGAUGAUAUCAGCCCGUGAGGAUCCAAAGUCUUUCUUAGUCUUCGUUCUCUUUGUUUUUGGAAGAUGAUCUUUCUCUUGUGAAUUUUUGAGAUUCCUUCUCGAAAAUUAUGCCCCAGUCUCAUUUCCUGGGGUUAUAUGACCGAGCCAUUGGGGCUCCUACAUAUUCCGUUGAAGUAGGAAUCAGGUCAAACGUAGUUCAAGACAACAUUGGGGAUACAUAUAAAAUUCUAAUGGGUUGACCGAAGCCGACAUAGGCCUCCUACGUAUCUCAUUCUUGAGAAUUCAGGUCAUCACAAAGUUCAUACAUAAAUGGAAGGGAUAAAUUAUCCUAAGGGGUUGACCGAAGCUGACUUAGGCCGUCUACGUAUCCCUUUUUUAAGAAUUUAGGUCAAACGUAGUUUGUAUAUGAGCGAAAAGGAUAAAUUUUCCUAAAGGGUUGACCGAAGCCAACAUAGGCCGCCUACGUAUCCCAUUCUUGGGAAUUCAGGUCAAACGUAGUUCUUACAUGAAAGAAAAGUAUAAAUUUUCCUAAGGGGUUGACCGAAGAUGAGAUAGGCCACCUACGUAUCCCUUUCUUGGGAAUUCAGGUCAAAUGUAGUUCGUAGAUAAAGGAAAAGUAUUCUAGGAAAUUACACAACAUAAAACAAAUACUAUCAUAAAGGCGAUUACAAAUGAACCAAGGAAAUAAAAGUAAAACACCAUUCAAACAUAAUAUCUCUUUACCGCAUCAAAAUUGUGUAUGCUUCUGCUAAGUGAUCACUAACACUUGUCUCUUUGAUUUCAUCAUGAUUGCCCAAGUUGACUAUCUCAGUUUUGUCCAAGUUGGGUUUUUCUCAGUUUUUCAAAUUCCUCUAUAUCUUCCACUAACUGCUCUUCAUCACCUUUUUCUAUUCACUAUCAUUUCCCUCACUUUGUUCGUCUAACACUUGUCAUGACAUAACAUUAGCAGGUUUUAAACUACUGCUACCUAUUGAUCGGGGAGUAAUAAGUGAACUGAAAGUCCAAUUCAGCAAUGUUUCUUCCAAUUCAUCUUUCUUGAUUCUGGUUGUCUUGAAAAAAUCUUCCCUCACAUUUUUCUUAUUUCAUCCUCGAGACCAUCGCUUAUAGGUUUUGAAAAAUGAUUGGUAGAGUCCAGUUUUAUUACUAGUCAUUUUUAUUUUGCUGUAAAAAUGCUAUAGUCAAGAGGGGGAUCUUUUGUUCACUUUGAUCUAGUCAAGUAGGGUCAUUUUGUGCCAAGACAGAGUAGUUUCUAUUACCUGUAAAGUAAAAACAACUCAAACGCUGACGUGUUAGAUUUUGUUAGUAAUAAGUAAAGCAAGAAGAUAAGGUAGGAAUUAAACACAUAAAGUUUUUUCUUAUCUCACGAAUUGAUCCAUGAAGUAAUGAUGACUUGAGAAUUUCAAUGAACAAGAUUUUGCUCAAUAUAUGGAUAGGUGGAAUUUGUCAGGAAGGUUCAACUCUUAUUCUUCCUUCAAGAAAGUGGAGGACAACAGAGUUUUUGAAGAUGGGGGCCAAAAAGCUACCUACGUAUCUCACAGACGAGAAAUCAAGCCCUACAUAGUUCGAAACUAUAAUGGCUUUUUUUGAUUCUAAAGUCAACUUUACUAAAAUGGUAGAGAUCAUUUUGGAAGUUUAAAGAAUGAUUGCAGACUUUUCUGAGAAACUUAGGAGACUUGGAGUAGGUUUGGUCGGACAUUUGUAUAGUGGAGUGUAUUUCUGCCUAGAGAUGUUCUAUGGAAAAUGGGAUUGGAUCAAUUCGCCUUUAAUUCGAAUCAAUAUAACACGUAUAAGAGCAUAAAUAGUAAUAUUACACAAGCAUAUUGUAUAAAUAUGCAUCCUAAUUGGGUGACCCUUUUGAGCCAAGGGUUUAGGCCUAAUGAAUUUUGAAUAAAAUAUACGCCUUUUUAAAGUCAAUCCAUUAUCCCCAAAAGUCUUCAUAGGUAUAUAUAAAUGACAUAAAUGUCUACAAAAGUUGCACAAAAAGGAUAUGAUUUUUAGGAAAAGGGAAAAUAACAUGAAAAAAGGAAUAAUGUCCUGCACAGGGGAUGGGAAAUACUAGUUCCUGAAUGCUCUUCUAUUGACCUUUGCCCUCUUAUCUUUGUCCACUUCUUGUCACUGGUGAGAUCCAUUGAUGGUCAAAUGAUUUAUGUAUAGUUGUUCCCUAGAUGAAACCGUCCAAAUCGAUCAAUUUCUUUCUUGGCUUGCUUCAAUUCCUCUCUCAAUUGGUGUAUGAUUGAGGUAUCCUUACACGAAAGUAAGAAAAGUAAGCUAUCUCUGGAUUAAAUAAACAUAUAUUUCUGCAAUACAUAAUUAUGAUUCAUCUGUAAUUGACUCGGGGUCAAUAAACACAGGGAAGGUUUUCUAAUGGGCCCAAUACCCCCUCGGGUAUUGGGUCAUCCUAGGCUCGUGCCUAAAAUAAGAUUUUGGUUUCGCUCAAUCCUAGGUAUCUAGAGUGGGUUUGAGCCAGGUUCCAAGUGGAUGACUUGGGUUUAAAAAUAUGAACAACCAUUAGAUGACUCACGUGCUAAUAAACCAUCGUAUUUCCAACACUUUAUUUGGAGUUAAACAAUCGGGGCUGGGACAUCCACGCAAUCCCAAAAUAAUUUAAUAAUCAAUGUAGAAUUAUCUUAUGAGAUGUAAUAAUUAAAUUUCACAAAAUCGAAACAUAUAAACACGUAAGAAAUUUAAUUAGUUAGUCAAAAUAUAAAAUCAAACAUUUGGUUAGAACCUAGUUAAAUAUCCCUAGAAGAAACGCUAUUUCUAUUUUGCCAAAAAUUUUGACUUUUGAGAGUUGCCAGUUAUUUGAAAAGGAAUUAAGAAAACCUUUAAAAGUUACUUAAACGAUCCAAAACAAAAAAAUCAUUUAAGUUUGAAGAUUCUGAGUAAGCGAUUCUUAUUAAUACUCUUGGAAGGUUGUUAAGGCACCAAGAGUAUUCGCUAGCUUGCGGUUAUCUGGACUGUCACACCCUUUUUUACCAAAAAGAUUAGAUUUUAAAGUUUGAAAGGGUUUUUAUUACUAAAGUGACAAAAUGAAGCUUUGUUCCGUAAAAGGAUUAUUUUUACAUUCAAAUCUCAGAGUUGCCACUAGGAAUAAUCCAGUGUGCCAAGUCACCUUUGGACAAUCCUUUUCAAAAUGGUUUUGACUUUUUAAAACCGAUCCACAAACAAAGAUUCCGGCUAAGGAAUUCUGUUGAUCGAGGGAAAGGUGUUAGGCACCCCUUGAUCAUAUGGUUCGACAAUGGUCUCUUGGUGGAGUAUAUCGGCUCGUAGACAUCAUAAAAUGAAUAAACCAACACACACACAAACAAGAAAAACAAUCAACCAAACAAUCAAAAGUCCAAAAAAUAAUGUCCAGUCCAAUUUAUUACAACCCAAAAUAAAAUGCUGAAAUUAAAAUCUAAACUAUUCUAACUAUCCUAGCUAUGCCUUACCCGAUGCCUCGAGCCGUCAUUACGAGCCUCAUUUGCAUACAUGAUACGUCAGGGCAUUCCCCGAUAAAUAAAUAUAAAUGACCUUGGGGCAUUCCCCGGCUAAAUGAAUACAUUUUUUUAGUGCGAGAAAAUCAAACCAUUCAACAAAAUUUCAAAAAUUCAACAAAACCACGAAUUCUAAACUUUGCCUACCCAACCUACAUUUGCCUACCCAUUCGACCUAUCAUGAUACUAUCAAGUUCGAUAAUAUAGUGUCCAUUUCAAAAUAAACAACAAUUAAAGAAUUAAACUAACUGACAUCCACCCUUUUUAUCAGUUUUCCAUUCACACCCCAUGAUUAACAAAUUUCAAUUUAAAAUCAACCAAUCACGUUAAGAUAUUACGGAGAAACUCAAACACAUUCAAACACAUCACCAAAUCAUAUCAUCAAACACGUUAAGAUAAUACAAGAGUAGAGUUAAGAAUUUGAACCUCAAAAUAAUAAAUUUCUAUUGAUAAUAACGAGUUAACAAGGCACGAACUCGAAAUCCUGAAUAAAAAUCUAAAUAGCGACCAAAAAUUCAACUCGGUAUCGAGAAAUAUAACCCGAAGAGAUUUGUCAUCGACGAAAAAACGCCAAAUCAAAAAUUUCCAAUUGUCCAUAACCUAACCCACUGGAAUCAAAGCUAGUUGGCCAUUUGUACCUCCCCAGAGCUCCGACAGACCACUUAGCCCACGAAUUGGGGUCUCUCUCCAGCUAAAUCUCAUCGAAAAAAUCCAGAAAUAGAAAAGGAAAGGGGAUUUCAUAGAGCUGCGAGUGACGGGAUUUAACGGGUGAGGAUGAGUGUUAUUGGAUGUCUAUUUCUGUGUGUGUAUUCUCGAAGGAGAAGGAAAAAUAGAGAUUAGCAGUGUGUUUGUGCAGAAUUGUGUGGGUGGUGUUGUGUAUUGUUUUUUGGUCAAUGAUGAGGAUGAUUGUUAGGUGAAUGUGUAAGUUAGUAAGUAGGAUUGGAUGGGGAUAAGGGUGAGGGUAGGGGUAGGGUAGAGAGAGGGAAAAAUGAGAAAAAUUUAAUUUUUGGACGGACAAAAUUACAUGUCUACAUUAAGCCCCUCUUUGGAUGUAAAUGCAAAGUGUUUUCAGAUAAAGAAGUAGACAACGAGACAAAAUUUUGACCGACCAUUAUUCAGAAGAAAGAAACACAAGGAAGGAGGGCAAUCGAGUCUUGAUUUUGCUUUCCUACCUAUCCUGAGUUAUGAGAGAUUCAAGUCAUAUGUAGUUAUAGGGUUGAAAAGGAGAUGGACUAUACCGAAUUGGAGAGUCGAGUGAGGUCCUGUCGAGGUUCUGGUCCACGGCUCUAUCAUUACACCAAAAUAAAAAUUACAAGUUAAAAUAUAAAUGAAAUUAUAAAGUCUUAUCUAUGCAACAUCUCUUGAUUUUUGUCUUGGGUCUCUGAUGCUUUUAGAAGUGACAAAAGAUCUAAUCUUCUUUCGAUUGAACUUGAAGAUAGAAUUUUUCUCUAUACAAAUUUGGUGUUGGAGAUGAACUCAAAGUUAGUCAUGCUGCAGGUGGUAUCUCUGAACUUGAACCUGGAUUUGAAAUUCUUCACCCUAUUCUUCAGGUGGGCUCCUAACUUGCAGUCUUUCACCUAGUUGCUUGAAUUUUAAUCUCUUUACCGUAUUCUCCAGGUGGGCUCCUGACUUGCAAUUUCAUCACCCUGUUCUGCAGAUAGUCUCCUGACUUGCAAUUUCAUCACCCUAUUCUUGAGGCGAGCUCCUGACUUGUAACUCCAUCACCCUUUUCUCCAGACAGGCUCAUGACUUUCAAUUUCAUCACUCUAUUCUCCAGGACUCCUGACUUGUAACUCCAUCACCCUAUUCUUCAGGCGGACUCCGGAAAAUAAAAUCAAAACUAGAACAAAAAUUAUCCCACACAAAGAUUAUGAUAAAGAAAGAUUUUAUUUUUUCAGAAAAUAAUGUCUCAUUUUACAAGAGAGUUCUAAACAGAAAAUAAAGUCCCAUUUUUUAGGCGGGUCCUGAACAAAAGUAAUGUCCCAUUUUUCAAGAGGGUCCUGGACAUGAAGUAAAUUCCCAUUUUUCAGGAGGGUCCUGAACAUAACGUAAAUUUCCAUUUUCCAGUUGGGUCCUGAACAUAGAGUAAAUUUCCAUUUUUAGGAGGGUCUUGACCAUAAAAUAAGUUUCCAUUCUCCAGAAGGGUCCUAAACAUAAAAUAAAUUCUCAUUUUCCAGGAGGGUCCUGAACACAAAGUAAAGUCCCAUUUUUCAAGAGGGUCCUGAACAUAAAAUAAAUUCCAAUUUUCCAGGAGGGUCCUGAACAUAAAAAUAAAUUUUUAUUUUCCAGGAGGGUCCUAAACAUAAAAUAAAUUCUCAUUUUUCAGGAGGGUCCUGAACAUAAAGUAAAUUUCCAUUCUCCAGGAGGGUCCUGAACAUAAAAUAAAUUCUCAUUUUUUAGGAGGGUCCUGAACAUAAAAUAAAUUCUCAUUUUUUAGGAGGGUCCUGAACAUAAAGUAAAUUUCCAACCAAAUGCAUAUUUAUCCUAAUAAAUUAUUGAUCCCGAACUUUUUGAUUUAAUAAAACCAAAUGCAUAUUUAUCUAAAUAAAUUAUUUUGAUAAUAAAUUAUAUUAAAAUCAAGAUUUUAGUCAUUAUACUUAUUUUUAAAAUAAUCCUUAAUUAAAAUCCAAUAUUCCAUAGAAUAAAUAUUUAAGUAAUCAAAUUAUAUAAUCUCAUAUAACCGAACACAAUAAUAUAUAAUUGCUACUUAAAAUGAUAAAAUUACGUACAAAAAAUAUUUUAAUUUUUUUUAUUUGAAUGAAAUAAAUAUUUUAAUUUUAUUAAAAACCGAAGAAAUUCAGGAUUAAAUUUGGUCGUGGAGGGAAAAAAUUAGGUGUCAACAAGAAUAAGUUUCAAUCCUGCACUUUCCACCCGGGGCACCCUCUAGUGUUAGUAAUUGGUUUUGAUAGGGUAUGAUUAGCACAAUUUGAAUAUUUCUUUGCUAAACUAUUGAGAUCAUAUAUACAGGGCCGACUCGAUAAUUAUGAAGGCCUAAAUCAAAACUUCAAUGAGAGGCCGAAAAUUUUAUUAAAAAAUCAUAUAUUCUAUAGGAUAUCACUUGAAGUCUAUUUUCUAGCUUUUUAUAUACAAAAUUUAAGAUACUAUCUAUAUCUUAAUUUGUAUGAUAAUUUUCACUUUUUGACUUUGAAAAGUAUAAUAGGAUUAAGUUUGUAAAGAUACUUUUCAUUUUUUAAAAAAUAAGUAAUUUUUAAAAAGUGCUCUCAAACUUAAAACACCACACACACACUACACACACAUAUAUAUAUACACACAUAUAUACACAUAUACAGAGGCGGAUCCAAGGUUCAAAAACUCCGGAUACCACCUUAUUUUGAACAAUAACGUAUACUCCAUACGGUAUUUUAGGAUAGUGGAAUCAAUAUUCAAACAUUAAACUAUAAUUAUAUAUAUCUAACAAGUGUUAGUAUUAUAUGAAUGCUUGCCUAGUUGGUGUUGUCAGCUGUUUUGUAAAAAAAGAGGUCAAGGGUUCUAUUCUUCAUAGCCACACUAUAUAUUUUUUUAAGAGAAAACAAACAAGUGCUAAAAAUCAUUCUAAAAAUACAGUGCCACACGGGUUUCGAACCCGCGUUGUUGGAGUUAAACUAAACAAUUUCUACCACUUACACCACUAGUCCCUUUGAUAUUGUGGGUGUCAAGUAUAAUAUUUGUACAUUAACUGAUACAUAUACACAUAAAUAUACAGAGUUUCAUCCGAGAAGUGCGGGUGCCAUGCCACCCCAUACCUUCUACAUUGAUUCGCCCCUGCACAUACAUACAUACAUACAUAUGCCAGGAAAUUUUGGGCAGCAGUGGCUUUAGAAGCUUUACGCUUUAGCCGACCCUGCAUGUAUAAGUUCCUUGUAGGCUUGGCUCGAUUAGUCAUGUCGAUAUAUCUACAAAACAAAAAAUACCUAGGAAUCUUGAAAUAAAAAAGAAAUAAAAAUCUUCUCUGGAUCAACCAAAGAUAAGAAAUGGAAAAGGAAUAAUAGUAGGGUAAGAAUAUGCAAAGUCUGCAAUAUUAGGUUCUAGUGUCACAAUAAUAUGUCAUAGAGUUCCCAUUUUGAUAUGAGUUUUGCUUGCUAUAUUUUUAUUUUAUUAAAUAGAAUGUUAAUUUUAACUAAACAUUUUUGCCUUCCUACUUGUGUAAUAUUAUUUCACGAUCCUUGAUGACUUCUCUAUUGAGGAACAUUCAGGAAUAUUAGAUCUUCAAACUAAAUAAUUGUCAAGUUAGAUGAAAUUGUUCAUGUUUGAAGCUUAUUCACAUGUAUAGUCCUUGAUUUUUCUUUCUCCCUUUUCUCGCUAUUUUGUAUCUAUUGAAUAUUGUUGCAGGUCUUGGAGUUGUGGAACCAUUCAUUCAGAGCAACAUAACUUGGCCACAUAAUGAACAUGAGGGCAUAAUUUCUUCAUUAGCGAAUUCGCGUGUGAAAGAAAAUAUAGCUUCAGUGAGUCAUGAC
rnacentral:lncRNA from 1 species